rnacentral:rRNA from 1 species
GACGAACGCUGGCGGCGUGCUUAACACAUGCAAGUGGAGCGACGAACCAGGCUUCGGCCUGGGGCAAAGCCGCGAACGGGUGAGUAACACGUGGGUAACCUGCCCUGAUGACUGGGACAACCCGGGGAAACUCGGGCUAAUACCAGAUGUGGUCACUCCACACGAGUGGAAUGACUAAAGGUAGCUUCGGCCUCCGCAUCAGGAUGGGCCCGCGGCGCAUUAGCUUGUUGGUGGGGAAUGGCCUACCAAGGCGACGAUGCGUAGCUGGUCUGAGA